UGUUAUUGUUAUUUUAAAUUAUUUUACUGUGUUUUAAUUGUGAUAGAGAUAAACUAAGAUAAAAGUAUAUCUCUGCUGCGAUACAAAUAUCUGAAAAAGGUGAAGUGGUGAGGUAGAGAAGUGAUGAUGGAAAGCAAAAAAAAAUAGAAAAGAAAAAUGUUCACAUUUUUAGAGUCAAUAUCGCUGUAUAAACUCAUAGAGAUGAAGCCAAACACCUCUUCCAAUUAAUGAGGUUAAGGAGAGGAAAGUUAAGAGAUUUGUAGCAAAUAAAUAAUUAGCCAACAUUUCCAAAUGAUAUAUGUGUCAAAGAAGUUCCCCCCAGCAAAAACUAAUUUAAUCUCUUUAAUUUAUAGAAAAAUAACUAUUGUAUUCCGUUUUUGCGUCAUGUCUGCGUCAGUGCCAAUGGAAUUAAUGAAAAAAUGCAUCCAAAUCCCUCCCAUUGUGGGUCAAUGUGGAUACUCAGGGCGGAAGUAGGAAGGUCGAAUUUUGACCUGGAUGUCAAACGUUUGUGGAAACGCCCCCAAAUCAUUUCAAAGUAACACAAAUGCCGCUAUAUUAGCAAAGAACAACAAAGAUGUGGACUGAGACGUGAGUGAUAUAACAACAAAGAUGCUCUAUAAAACACCAGUGGGAUUAGGAACAGUGGGAUUGACAGCUGGAAGCAUCCGAUCGGAGCCUAAUCGCAGGAGAGAUCGCUGAACUUUGGAAAAUUGAUUGGGAUCUGGACAUGACCCAUGAUGAACCUGUCACGGACAAAACUGGGAAUCUUAAGUUUUGGCUGCUGCUGCCCAGGCUGAUGCUGCCCCGCUGCUGCUGCUGCUGCUGCAGCUGAGGGUGAGGAGGAUGAUGAUGAUGAUGAGGAGG